CAUUACUGAACUGUCGACACGAGUUGUUGCUGGCCCUCAAAUGGGGGCAUGUGCACGCUCUGUUUACACACCCACUCACACCUGUGCACCCUCUGUAGUUCCGUGGUGUGGGGGACUCUGUUCUCCCACUGUGGUUCUAUGUCUUUACACACACACAGUGACAAAGUUUUAUGGAAUGCAUGUCGCGUUUAACGCAAUACAAUACAACUUUCAGCAACGGAUCUCUUGGCUCUCGCAUCGAUGAAGAACGCAGCGAAAUGCGAUAAGUAAUGUGAAUUGCAGAAUUCAGUGAAUCAUCGAAUCUUUGAACGCACCUUGCGCCCUUUGGCUAUUCCGAAGGGCAUGCCUGUUUGAGUAUCAUGAACACCUCAACUCUCAUGGUUUGCCGUGAUGAGCUUGGACUUUGGGGGUCUUGCUGGCCUACGGUCAGCUCCCCUAAAAUGAAUCAGCUUGCCAGUGUUUGGUGGGAUCACAGGUGUGAUAACUAUCUACGCUUGUGGCCUUCCACCAAUUAACUUCCAGCAAUGGAGGUUCGCUGGAGCUCAUAAACGUCUCUCCUCAGCNAGGACAGCUCUUUUGAAUGUUUGAUCUCUUGAUCUCAAAUCAGGUAGGACUACCCGCUGAACUUAAGCAUAUCAAUA
rnacentral:rRNA from 1 species